rnacentral:lncRNA from 1 species
AUUUUUUUUUCUUUUUAUGUGCCCUGUUAAGCCUUGGAAAACAAAGAUAAAAUCUGAGCUUCCUGCAAGUUUUACCUACUCAGCCACUUACUUUCCAGGAUCCUUCAUCAUGAAAGCAAUUGUAUGGGGUAUACAAGAUGCAUGGCAGUGGUGGUUGGAGAAAAUUGCCAUGGGAUUGGCACAUGGAUUGGCACUGAGCACAGGGAUAUGAAACUUCAUGCUCAUGAUUGCAAUUCAGGAAGCCAAAGGGCAAAGGAAGUAUUGUAUGGGGUUUGUGAUCUAAGUAUUAAGAAACCAAAAUGCAAAUACUAAUAAACAUGGAACCAAAAAGACUUUAUGUAUGGAGCAGUGCAAAGCUGGUACAAGAGCUGUGAAUCCUCAAGAAUGCAACCUCUACUGUGAGUAUGCUGGAAGAAAUUAAUGAUGCUAAGGUGGAAAGUCCUCCAUUUUGAGACACUUACUAAUUUUCUGCUACCUUUCAUGGGAUUUUUUUUUAUCAUCUAUGCCAUGCUGUACCAGGAAGCAAAGAGAACUUUCAUCCACACUGUUGACAACUUUUGUGCAUGAAGUUGGCAACUUGCAGCACCUGGCAGCUCCUAGUGGCCCUGACACAUUGAGCCCCUGCUGGUCCUUGCUCACGUACUAUUUCAACAGUUUGUCUCUCCCAGCGACAACCUUCCUGGUGUUCCAAAAGCUCUCAUUUUUUAAUGUAAUUUUUCAAAACUCUUUAUUAUCAGCCUUACCAAAUAGUCAAUAUUUUCACAUCAAUAGUAGACUUGACUCUCUCUAGGUAAGUUUUCGGCUAUUUUCCUCCCAACUGUUCAUGUUUAUGGACAUCUAUAGAGCUGUGUUUACAAUCACCUUUAACCUAAAAUCUCAUGACUACUAUUGGGCCCUACAGUAAAUAUUUACUGUCGAUUAGGAUAUGGGAUGCUCCAAGCCCAGAACUCAGAGGUUGUAAAGUCAUGAUCCGGACAGCACUAUUUUGAACUGAAUAAGGUUAUUGAUGAUUAGUGCAAUUACAAUAAUAAUAUCUGCAUGACGUUUUAUAUCUUAUGAAAUACUUUUACGAUACUUGUGUCUCUUGAGCUACGCAACUUACUAAGGUAGUGGAACACAAAUUUGUAUUAAUUUCUAUUUACAGGUGGGAGAAAUUGAGGCCCUACAAGGUUAGAUGACUUGCUCAGGAUCAACAAUUGUUAAAUGUCAGAGCAGGGAUUCAGAACCAGGACAUAUGACUCCAAGUCUAAUAUUCAUUCCACCAUGUAUCACCGUGGCCUUUUCCUGUCUUGAGCCUACAUUAGAAUUGAAGUCUCAAACUAAAGGGCACUCACCAUUUUGCUGGCAUAACUGAGCAGCUGAAUGUCACUCUUGAGGCUUUCAGUCUUGCAUCUUUAUAGUUGUUUCACAAUUGCCUGGUCUUUACAUCUCCUAAAUGCCUUUCAUAUAUAUAAUAAAUGUCAGAGACAGUGGUUGGUCAUUUUCAUUUGACUUCUUAAUGAUUUGAUGAAGAAUGUACAAGUGGCCUGUGUAUACUCGCUUCAGAGGUCAGCUUGAAGCAGCAAGUCACUGUAAAGAUAAGCAUUUAGCCAUUAUAUUCAUUCAUUUUAGGCAAGGAUGGUAGUUUAUCAUUUACUCCUCUUCUUUGGAGCUGAUAAAGAGAUGACUCCUUGGGCUUAAUUAUCAUGAAAGAGGAAGAUAUUGUCCUCUUUAUAGGAAUCAGAGCUGUAUGUCGCAAGGGCUGUGAAUAAAGUACCUACUCCAGAAAGUCCGAACAGGUCCCUAAGACUAUCUCCUUUUAUGUGUAUUUAAGACGACUGAUUUGGGGCCACCCUUUGAGAAGGCUAGGAUGAGGAUACUUCAUUUUACAUCAGACUUGGGCACUCAGGGCUCAUAUUAACUCCAGCUUCUUCCAGUACAAAAUGAAAUGAAAUAUAUUGACUAAACGCUGAACAGUUCUCUAUUAACCCCCUCACUUUCAUGCAUGUCCUCAUUCCUCCAAAGCAUCUUUCCUCCAGACUAGAUGACAGGGUAUGUUUUUUAAUACAAAGACUUCUUUCCAAUUAAGAAAAGGAGGGGGGGCUAGGCUCCCACAUGAAAAUAAUUGUAAUUUUUGGAAUUUUUAUAUCUGUUCAACAAGAAAAUACAGAAUAACAAAAGGCUUCUGUGAAUUCAAUACAGUGUUUAAAAAGACAAUUUUGUGUCUUAUUCACCAUGAUAUUAUCAACACACUUUUGAGAAAAAAAGUAGGUAGUAUAUUAUGCAAGACAUAUUUAUGUUUCGUCUACAUAUGGAUUCACAACCAUCCUCCCACCCAUAUCUCCUUCCUCCCUUGACUCACAAGUUGGAAAUAACUGAUCUAGAUAUUUUGCUUCUCAGACUAUUCCAUUUUCUGAGCAGUCUUCACAGCCCUUCUCUAGGUAUAGAGGCCAAACUUUAGGACACACAGAGUGAAGGGCAUCGCCUGGGCAGAUGGAAUAGUUUCAGGAGCUUUCAUUCAUCUCUUUAGCAAACACUUCAAGCACCUUGAAGUGCCAAGCUAGGACUAGGUGGAGGUGAUUUCUGGGGACUUCUCUACCUACUGAUGUCUGAAAUUGCACUAGUCAGAACCACAUUCCUUUGCUAUAAAGUUUAGAUUUCUCAACGUUCCAAUUUCCCUGACAAAGGUAAUAGUAAGUUGUUAGUUGUUUCUCAAUUGUAGCUACACAAUAAAAUUACCUGGGAAACUUUGAAAAGACUAGCAGUGUCUGAGUCCCAACCCAAGCCAAUUAAAUUAGAUCCUAUGGAAAAUGGGAACCCACACACUGUUUUUUUGUACUGCUUUGUUUUGUCUUUAAGUUUCCAGAUGAUCUAAUGGGUUUCUGAGUGAGAACGUCUUGUUUCUCAAAGUCUCUAAAGGACUUAAAGGAGGAGAAAGGUAACAAGGAGAAUGUGGGGAAAGCCUGUAAAUAUGAACGGGCCCUGGAACUUGGAUCAGUAGAGCAGGGUAGAGGAGGAAAUCGUGAAGGCAAAUUUCUUCAAUCUCAUAUCUACACCCUCAACUUGUGGCCCCUCCCUAAACUGAAC